rnacentral:tRNA from 1 species
GCGGGAGUGGCGGAACUGGCAGACGCGCUAGACUUAGGAUCUAGUGGCAAGCGCCGUGGGGGUUCAAGUCCCUUCUCCCGCACCA